rnacentral:lncRNA from 1 species
UCUUCCUUUCAUCUAACAUAUUUAUUGAGCACCUACUAUGUACCAGGCCUUGUGCUAGACUCUGGGGAUAUGGAAAUGAGCAAAGUAGAUGUACCCCCGAAACUUGUGGACUAAUGGAGGAGACGGACCUUAAUCAGAUCGUCAUUCAAAGAUACUAUUACAAACUGUUCUGAGAGCCGAGGAAGCAGGAAGGAGCUGUGAGAGACUGAGCUCUAACCUUGGCCAUCAAAGACAAGCUGUGCAGCUCUGGUUUUUUGAGGGCAGGACAUGGAGGGUCAGGCCCAGCUGGAGGCGCACCAAAGCCCAGAGAAAAUUCAGAACCACGUGAACUUGUUGGAUUUCAGCCCCUUGAAGCACAUGUUGCUAUUGCAGCUGCCUUGAUAACUGGGGGGACAGGAGGAGCACGGCUUUCCCAUCUUGUACGGGGACUCGCCAAUCCAGUUGCCCCUGGAAGAGAAAAGGACCCAGGGAGACAGAGGAGCAUUAGGCUACUAAUGACUUCAAGAACAUCAGAAUAAUACAAUAGAAAGAAUUUGGAAUUUGGAAUCAAAAGACUGAUUCUUCUGAACCAGCUCUACUACUUGUUGGCUUUGUGACAUUUGGUAAAUUACUCAACCUGCCUGAGCCUCAAUUUCUUAAUUUGUAAAAAGAAUGUCCUCCUAGGGUUCCCCCCUUUUUCCUUCUUUCUUUCAUCUCUUCAAUGAGAUAGUGUGAAAGUAGUUUGUAAAUGAUUAAAGGCUAUGUGACAGUAAAA